AUGGGCGGACCUUUGGUAGACUGCAGUGCCGAAGGUGUGAGCAGCAGCUCAUGUCUCAGCCGCAGCACCUGCGAAAAAGCAGGUUUUGAGCACAGCUCUUGUGCUCUACCUGAAGAUGAAAAGUCUGAAGCUGGAAUAGCAUCUGUGAAAGAUGAUUUGGUUGUCAAGGAAAUCAGUUUGGCUCUUGCUGAGGUGAUGCGUGUCUAUAAUGACAAUGAUGAUGAAGAGACAGAUCUGAGUGAAGACUCUGACGAAAAUGGGGAUUCACUUUCUGUAGAAUCAGAUUCGGCUGAUGAUUUGGUUGAUAUUGACACUGAGGUGGUCACAUCGUCAGCCUUAACUGCCGGGAAUGCGUCUAAAUCAUCAACUGGAAAUUCAGAGAUUGGAAAUUCCUCAACCAAUGGGACUGAACUGUUGGUUUCUGCAAUGAAAGGAAGCCGUGCAAAGCGGGGAAUUGUGACAAAGUUGAGUGUUUCAUGGGCCCCUGACGUAUAUGAUCCUCCUGUUACUUCUGACUCACACACAGUGAAGCCGCACCAGAGAAGUUCAAGGAAGAGCCACUACAAAUACAAGCCCCCAAAGGGCAGCAGCAGCAGCAGCCGCACUAGCAGUGGCAGCAAAAAGGACAAGAAGCAUUCUCACCACAGCAGCAGCAGCAGCAGUAAAAGAGAUAAGAAACCUUCCCACCGCAGUAGCAAUGGUGGCAGCAGCAGAACUGACACUAGUGAUCCUCACCAUCGGAAGGCAUAUGGCAGCAGCAUUACCAGCAGAACUGAUACUAGUGUUCCUGAAUAUCAUAAGUUAUCGCCGUGGCAGCCACCGGCUAGUGCCGCAGUGGAAGAAGCCAUGCCCCCUGUACCUGUUCUGAAGGCCAUGGAACAGAUCAAGCGUAGCUCCAGCUGCUGCAAGGAGCCGCCGAUAAGCAUGAAGGCCAUGGAACAGAUCAAGCGUAGCUCCAGCUGCUGCAAGGAGCCACCGAUAAGCAUGCUAUCACGCCAAUUCGUGGCUGCCAAGUACAAAGGGAUGUUUUCUUUCUUGAGUCAGAACCAACUUGCUUCUUGA
rnacentral:rRNA from 1 species